rnacentral:misc_RNA from 1 species
CAUAACCCAAUAUAUUUACUAUUAGAACACACACCAUAAAAGGUGUCUUCAACUACAUAGGUAAAACCCCUCCUCAUCAAUGGACAUGAAUUACUAUCUCAUGAAUUCUAUGCCCUUUCUUUACCUUAGACCAAAGCUUUUUCCUCUUCAUGGGAUUGCAAACCUUGGGCCAAAGUCUUUCUUCCUUCAUGAGACUUAAUAGACGAGUGCCACUCUCCUCAAUAAGCAAAAGGCUCCCAUUCACAAUGGGUGAGAGCCCUUUUUCAUAGGCUGAAAGCCACUCUCUGCAAUGGGCAAAGCCCCUCUCUGCAAUGGGAAAGAGCCAAGUAAUAUCUCCACAAUAUUCCUAUUUAUAGUAUUACUCGUUCCAAUCCUAAUCUGAUUAGGAGUCC